GACGAACGCUGGCGGCGUGCUUAACACAUGCAAGUCGAACGGAAAGGCCCUGCUUUUGUGGGGUGCUCGAGUGGCGAACGGGUGAGUAACACGUGAGUAACCUGCCCUUGACUUUGGGAUAACUUCAGGAAACUGGGGCUAAUACCGGAUAGGAGCUCCUGCUGCAUGGUGGGGGUUGGAAAGUUUCGGCGGUUGGGGAUGGACUCGCGGCUUAUCAGCUUGUUGGUGGGGUAGUGGCUUACCAAGGCUUUGACGGGUAGCCGGCCUGAGGGUGACCGGCCACAUUGGGACGGGGAUACGGCCCAGACUCCUACGGGGGGCAGCAGGGGGGAAUAUUGCACAAUGGGCGGAAGCCUGAUGCAGCAACGCCGCGUGCGGGAUGACGGCCUUCGGGUUGUAAACCGCUUUCGCCUGUGACGAAGCGUGAGUGACGGUAAUGGGUAAAGAAGCACCGGCUAACUACGUG
rnacentral:rRNA from 1 species